AUUGAACGCUGGCGGCAGGCCUAACACAUGCAAGUCGGACGAGCGGCGGACGGGUGAGUAAUGUCUGGGAAACUGCCUGAUGGAGGGGGAUACCUACUGGAAACGGUAGCUAAUACCGCAUACCAUCCGAUGUACCCAGAUGGGAUUCGCUAGUAGGUGAGGUAACGGCUCACCUAGGCGACGAUCCCUAGCUGGUCUGAGAGGAUGAACAGCCACACUGGGACUGAGACACGGCCCAGACGCCUACGGGAGGCAGCAGUGGGGAAUAUUGCACAAUGGGCGCAAGCCUGAUGCAGCCAUGCCGCGUGUAUGAAGAAGGCCUUCGGGUUGUAAAGUACUUUCAGCCGGGAGGCGUUACCGACAGAAGAAGCACCGGCUAACUCCGUGCCAGCAGCCGCGGUAAUAC
rnacentral:rRNA from 1 species